rnacentral:tRNA from 1 species
GCUCCUUUGGCACAGUCGGUUAGCGCGUCGUAUUUAUAGGCAGUACGGGUGUGUCCCGCGCGCGCCAUGAAAUACGAAGGUCGAGAGUUCGAUCCUCUCCAGGAGCA